rnacentral:rRNA from 1 species
CAUCACUACGCUAGAUGCAUAUCAAUAAGCGGAGGAAAAGAAACUAACAAGGAUUCCCUUAGUAACGGCGAGUGAAGCGGGAAGAGCUCAAAUUUGAAAUCUUCAAGGUCCUACCUUGACGAAUUGUAGUUUAUAGAAGUGUUUUCUGUUAGUAAGUUGGCUAAAAGUUCUUUGGAAUAGGACAUCAUAGAGGGUGAGAAUCCCGUAUUUGGUCAUUCUUCUAGCGUUGUGAUACACUUUCAACGAGUCGGAUUGUUUGGGAAUGCAGUCCAAAAUGGGUGGUAAAUUUCAUCUAAAGCUAAAUAUUGGCGAGAGACCGAUAGCGAACAAGUACCGUGAGGGAAAGAUGAAAAGAACUUUGAAAAGAGAGUUAAACAGUACGUGAAAUUGUCAAAAGGGAAGCGUUUGACACCAGUGUUGUUUUUCCGAAAAUCAAUUACGAAUGUUUUAUUUUUGAGGAGUUAUGACUUCAUCGGCUUGCUCCUUUCUUUACGAAACUUUCUUAAUGCACUUUUCGGUUAACAAGUCAACAUCAAUUUCUUUUGUUGUAAAAGGGUAUGAGGAAGGUGGCUUUCUUUUCGGAGAAAGUGUUUAUAGCCUUGUGCCUCUACAAUCGGAGAGAUUGAGGUUUGCAGCGUAGAUCCUUCGGGGUUAGAUACGUUUGUGCUAAGUUAUAGCUUUUCAUAGACAACUUGUUGACUAUGUUUAGUCUUGUAGCUUACUCGCUGACGCUAUUUUACCUACGCUUAGGAUGUUGAAGAUAUGCGCGACACG